rnacentral:rRNA from 1 species
UACGGAGGGAGCAAACGUUGUUCGGAUUCACUGGGCGUAAAGGGCGUGUAGGCGGUCUGGCAAGUCAGGGGUGAAAUGCCACGGCUCAACCGUGGAAUUGCCUUUGAAACUACCGGACUUGAGGCCGUGAGAGGAGACUGGAAUUCCCAGUGUAGCGGUGAAAUGCAUAGAUAUUGGGAAGAACACCAGUGGCGAAGGCGAGUCUCUGGCACGGUUCUGACGCUGAGGCGCGAAAGCUAGGGGAGCAAACGGG